AGUGAACGCUGGCGGCAGGCCUAACACAUGCAAGUCGAGCGGCAGCGGGUUCCCGCGAGGGGAUGCCGGCGAGCGGCGGACGGGUGAGGAACACAUCGGAAUCUGCCUGGUUGUGGGGGAUAACGUAGGGAAACUUACGCUAAUACCGCAUGAGACCCUGAGUCGACGGACUGGGGGUGAAAGUGAGGGACCUUCGGGCCUCACGCGACCAGAUGAGCCGAUGUCGGAUUAGCUAGUUGGCGGGGUAACGGCCCGCCAAGGCGACGAUCCGUAGCUGGUCUGAGAGGAUGAUCAGCCACACUGGGACUGAGACACGGCCCAGACUCCUACGGGAGGCAGCAGUGGGAAUCUUGGACAAUGGGCGCAAGCCUGAUCCAGCCAUGCGCGUGGGU
rnacentral:rRNA from 1 species